UACGAAGGGGGGCUAGCGUUGCUCGGAAUCACUGGGCGUAAAGCGCACGUAGGCGGCUUUCUAAGUCAGGGGUGAAAUCCCGGAGCUCAACUCCGGAACUGCCUUUGAUACUGGAAAGCUUGAGUCCGGGAGAGGUGAGUGGAACUGCGAGUGUAGAGGUGAAAUUCGUAGAUAUUCGCAAGAACACCAGUGGCGAAGGCGGCUCACUGGCCCGGUACUGACGCUGAGGUGCGAAAGCGUGGGGAGCAAACAGG
rnacentral:rRNA from 1 species